rnacentral:rRNA from 1 species
UACAGAGGGGGCAAGCGUUGUUCGGAAUUACUGGGCGUAAAGGGCGCGUAGGCGGCGCGAGUAGUCAACGGUGAAAGCCCGGGGCUCAACCCCGGGUCGGCCGUCGAUACUCUCGUGCUUGAGCACUGUAGAGGCAGGUGGAAUUCCGGGUGUAGCGGUGGAAUGCGUAGAGAUCCGGAAGAACACCGGUGGCGAAGGCGGCCUGCUGGGCAGUAGCUGACGCUGAGGCGCGACAGCGUGGGGAGCAAACAGG